GACAAAUGUAGGGAAAUUCCAUAUCGUUAUGACCUUUUUGCUGAUGGCAUUCACCGUUGCUCAAAGUGCACUUCUGGCUUGGUAUGCGCGCAGCAAAACCUUUACAAACGUUUUUUGAAAUAACUGUAUCAAUACUGCCAAUGCCCAAGCUUUGAGUCUAGAAAACCGUCUGAGACCCCAACAAGAAAAAAUAAUAAAUUUCAGACUCUUAGCUUUCCAUCCACAAAAAUAUUCCUGAAAACUUUUUAACCGAUUUUUUAAAUACAAUUAGUGUUAGAGCUGAAUUACUAUAUCCUUUUUGUAGAAAUCUAUACAAUGUAAAAAGAUCAUCCACCCCCUAGGGGUUUAGCAUAGAGCUAUCGAUGAAUCUGAUUGGCUCUCGUUACCAAGAUACCAGUUUUUCCUAAAUGCCUUGAUAACAAAAGUCGCGUGUUCGAUCCUUUGUUGAAGCAGCGCUCAAAACGUGUUGUAUUUUUCACUGAACAUGCUUCGUUGAGCACAUACUUCGAUUGAUUCCGAAGACAAUCUUAACGUCAAAAUACAUUAUCUACACAAGACUAAUAUUUGCUCAAAUUUAAAAGAUUACAAGACGAUUUUGUUCUAAUUCAAGAUACGAAGAAGUUCUGCAGUUUGUACGUCGGCCAUGGUGGAUUCAAGAGUCCUUUUUUGCUUUUUACUUUGCUUGUUUUCUUCUAUUCAUUCAGUGUCUUCGAUCAAAUGUUACCACUGCUUUCCCCCAAUGGACCAAGAACUUUGCAAACGCCAGAACAAAAUGAUUGAUUGUCAUGAUUACAAACCCCUUGGGUAUGACUCUUGCAUUAAAGUCGACUACAACGGCAACCAUACAGUUGCAAAGACAUGUUACCAAGGAUUCUUGUGUGAAGGAGCUAAAAAUUGGUGCAGGCUUUAUGGCCCCUGUACUGUUUCUUGUUGUACAAAUAAUAUUUGUAACGCAAGUGACGUCACGCACUUUCCUGCCAAGAUGGUCAUGCUUUUGAUUCUUGUAUACAUGGCAUUGUAAAAAAGAGAAUAAGUAAGAGAGAAAGAAAGAGAGAAUGAAGAAAAGAGGGAGGUGUAAGCAUUUAAUACUUCUUUAAUAAAAUCGAUAUAGAAAACUUCAUCUGGAUAUAGACCUUUUGCAGUAAGUCAGAAUGCAGCUUAAUUUGGAGGACAUAAGAAAAGGUUUCCAAUUCUCAUGAGAUUAAAAUGGAGCUGCUCUGACGUCGCAUGCAAGAGGUCUUUAGAAGAAAAACUAACUUAAAAAAAACACUCAUAAGAAUAUAUUGAAGUGUAAAUUUGACAAACUCUGUAAUAUACUUGCCUUUUUUACAUGAGAGUUUUGACAAAAUUAUGAUCUUUAUCUGCACAAACCAAAA